rnacentral:rRNA from 1 species
GACGAACCGUGCGAACGUUGUUCGGAAUCACUGGGCUUAAAGGGCGCGUAGGCGGGCUGCCAAGUCCGGGGUGAAAGCCCUCCGCUCAACGGAGGAAUGGCCUUGGAUACUGGCGGCCUGGAGGAAGGUAGGGGCGUGCGGAACUCUCGGUGGAGCGGUGAAAUGCGUAGAUAUUCACAGGAACUCCGGUGGCGAAGGCGAGGUGCUGGACCCCAUCUGACGCUGAGGCGCGAAAGCCAGGGGAGCGAACGGG